rnacentral:rRNA from 1 species
GAAAGCCUGACGGAGCAAUACCGCGUGAGGGAUGACGGCCUUAGGGUUGUAAACCUCUUUUAUCAAGGAGGAAGUUCUGACGGUACUUGAUGAAUAAGCAUCGGCUAACUCCGUGCCAGCAGCCGCGGUAAGACGGAGGAUGCAAGUGUUAUCCGGAAUCACUGGGCGUAAAGCGUCUGUAGGUCGUUUAAAAAGUCUACUGUUAAAAAUUGAAGCUUAACUUCAAAGAUGCCGUAGAAACUUUUAAACUUGAGUAUGGUAGGGGUAGAGGGAAUUUCCAGUGGAGCGGUGAAAUGCGUAGAUAUUGGAAAGACCACCAAUGGCGAAG